GCAAUACUUAGUGGCAGACGGGUGAGUAACAUGUGGGUAUCUUCCCUUUGGUGAGGAAUAACACGAGGAAACUUGUGCUAAUACCUCAUAAGUCUUUACGGAGAAAGCUUUAUGCGCCAAUGGAUGAGCCCGCACUUGAUUAGUUUGUUGGUGGGGUAAUGGCCUACCAAGACUUUGAUCAAUAGCUGAUCUGAGAGGAUGAUCAGCCACAUUGGGACUGAGACACGGCCCAAACUCCUACGGGAGGCAGCAGUAGGGAAUAUUGCACAAUGGAGGAAACUCUGAUGCAGCGAUGCCGCGUGAGUGAAGAAGGCCUUUGGGUUGUAAAGCUCUUUCGUCGGGGAAGAAAAUGACGGUACCCGAAUAAGAAGGUCCGG
rnacentral:rRNA from 1 species